rnacentral:lncRNA from 1 species
UGUGUAUGGUUGAUUGGAUGAGUAUUUUGGCACUUAUUUUUCUUCGUCAACUUUAUACAAGUCAAGGCCUUCUUCGUCAACUUCAGCCAAGUUGGGGCCUUUGAUGACAAAGUACUCUAGCGUAAUUUUUACAAAGAGCCUUGAUGAUUUGUAAGUGCAAACAUUGUUUAAAAGCUGUGAAGGUUUGAAAUGGAUCAUCUGGCAAUGGUUGGCUCGGUGCAGCGAGGCCUCAUAGAUGAUUCACACCUUUGUUUCUCAGACUUGUCUUAUCUUACAAGUCUUCGCUUGGGGUAUGUUUCUUUGCA